rnacentral:rRNA from 1 species
AGGAGGACCCGCGGCCGAAGGGGGGGGAACGGCCCAACAAGCCGAAACGGACGGGGGGGAGCAAGAGCCCGGAGGGACGAGACACGAACCAGGCCCACGGGGCGCAGCAGGCGCGAAAACACAGGCGGGAAACCGGAAAGGGAACCCGAGGCCGAAGCAGGCGCCAGGGCAAAAAAACCGAAGAAAGGGCCGGGCAAGACCGGGCCAGCCGCCGCGGAAACCGGCGGCCGAGGGGGCCACAGGGCAAAGCGCGAGCGGGGAAGCCGGGAAACGACGGCCAACCGCAGGCGCCAAGGGAACCGGCAACGGAACCGGGAGAGGGAGGGGACCGGGGGAGGAGGAAACCGAACCCGAGGGACCACCGGGCGAAGGCGCCCACCAGAACGGCCGACAGGAGGGACGAAAGCGGGGGAGCAAACCGGAAGAACCCGGGAGCCCAGCCCAAACGAGCGCGAGGGACGGGACCACGAGCACCGAGGGCCGAAGGGAAACCGGAAACGGCCGCCGGGAAGGACGCGCAA